rnacentral:rRNA from 1 species
CACGUAGGGGCGAGCGUUGUCCGGAAUUACUGGGCGUAAAGGGCGCGCAGGCUGUUAUGCGAGUCUGCUGUGAAAUGUACCGGCUCAACCGGUGCCUUGCGGCGGAUACUGCAUAGCUGGAGUACUGGAGAGGGAAGUGGAAUUCCCGGUGUAGCGGUGGAAUGCGCAGAUAUCCGGAGGAACACCAGUGGCGAAAGCGGCCUCCUGGUCCAUUCCUGACACUCAGACGCGAAAGCUAGGGUAGCAAACGGGAUUAGAUA